rnacentral:rRNA from 1 species
GAAUUUUAUAUAAAAUUUUAUAAUCUAAUUAAUAUUUAAAAAUAUUAAAAUUUUAUAUUUAAUUGGGAGGAUUGUUAAAUUUUAUUAACUUUAAUUAAAAUAAAUAAUAUAAAUUAAUAAAUUAAAGAAUGAUUAAUAAGUUAAAUAAAAAUUAAUUACCUUAGGGAUAACAGCAUAAUAUUUUUGGAGAGAACAUAUCGAUAAAAGUGUUUGU